GAGUUUGAUCUUGGCUCAGAGCGAACGCUGGCGGCAUGCUUAACACAUGCAAGUCGCACGGUCAGCAAUGGCAGUGGCGGACGGGUGAGUAACACGUAGGAAUCUAUCUCUGGGUGGGGGACAACAGUGGGAAACUACUGCUAAUACCGCAUGAUACCUGAGGGUCAAAGGCGUAAGUCGCCUGGAGAGGAGCCUGCGUCUGAUUAGCUUGUUGGUGGGGUAAAGGCCUACCAAGGCUACGAUCAGUAGCUGGUCUGAGAGGAUGAUCAGCCACAUUGGGACUGAGACACGGCCCAAACUCCUACGGGAGGCAGCAGUGGGGAAUAUUGGACAAUGGGCGAAAGCCUGAUCCAGCAAUGCCGCGUGUGUGAAGAAGGUCUUCGGAUUGUAAAGCACUUUUGGCAGGGACGAUGAUGACGGUACCUGCAGAAUAAGCCCGGCUAACUUCGUGCCAGCCGCCGCAGUAAU
rnacentral:rRNA from 1 species